rnacentral:rRNA from 1 species
ACGGCGGUCAGUACAGACCUUAAACGGUGAAACCGCGAAUGGCUCAUUAAAUCAGCUAUUGUUCAUUGGAUCGUAAUCUACUACAUGGAUAACUGUAGUAAUUCUAGAGCUAAUACAUGCCAAAAUGCCCUAUGCCGCAAGGUUGUGGGUGGUUUUAUUAGAACAAAGCCAAUGUUUUGAGCUCCGGCUCUUCUCUAUUGGUGAUGACUCUGGAUAACUUUACUGAUCGCAUUCGAAAGAAGGCGACGGAUCCUUCGAGUGGCUGCCCUAUCAAUUGUCGAUGGUAGGUGACCUGCCUACCAUGGUAAUAACGGGUAACGGGGAAUCAGGGUUCGAUUCCGGAGAGGGAGCCUGAGAAACGGCUACCACAUCCAAGGAAGGCAGCAGGCGCGCAAAUUACCCAAUCCCGGCACGGGGAGGUAGUGACGAAAAAUACGGAGACGGGACUCGUAACGGGCCUCCGACAUCCGAAUGAGUACAAUUUAAAUCCUUUAACGAGGAACAACUGGAGGGCAAGUCUGGUGCCAGCAGCCGCGGUAACUCCAGCUCCAGAAGCGUAUAUUAAAGUUGUUGCAGUUAAAAAGCUCGUAGUUGGAUCUGGGUCGCAUGGCUGUUCGCUGUGAUUGGCUUCAUGCAUUGAAUGUUGGUGUUAACGCGCCUUCAUUUGUGGUGUUGUUGAUCCGGUGUUAUGGUCGUGUAACCUUUCUGUCGUGUCUGUGCCUUUCUUCGGAAAGCGCAGGUGUUGGUCUUCUGUGUGUCGUAAGAUGUGCAGUUGAUUGGCAUGCUUUCGGGUGCUCUUUAUUGGGUGCUUGGAGCGGGCGGCAAGUUUACUUUGAACAAAUUUGAGUGCUCAAAGCAGGCCGUAGAGCCUGAAAAGUCUUGCAUGGAAUAAUGAAAUAGGACUUCGGUUCUAUUUUGUUGGUUUUCGGAUCCGAAGUAAUGGUUAAGAGGGACAAACGGGGGCAUUUGUAUGGCGGCGUUAGAGGUGAAAUUCAUGGAUCGUCGCCAGACAAACUACAGCGAAAGCAUUUGCCAAGGAUGUUUUCAUUGAUCUGGAGCGAAAGUCAGAGGAUCGAAGACGAUCAGAUACCGUCCUAGUUCUGACCAUAAACGAUGCCAACUGACGAUCCGAGGCGAGCUACUUUUGGCCCCUCGGGCAGUCCCCGGGAAACCUUUAAUCUUUGGGCUCCGGGGGA